UAGGGAAUAUUGCUUAAUGGGCGAAAGCCUGAAGCAGCAACGCCGCGUGCACGAUGAAGGUCUUCGGAUCGUAAAGUGCUUUUUUAGAGGAUGAGGAAGGACAGUACUCUAAGAAUAAGCCUCGGCUAACUACGUGCCAGCAGCCGCAGUAAAACGUAGGAGGCGAGCGUUAUCCGGAUUUACUGGGCGUAAAGCGUGUGCAGGUGGUUUGGUAAGUUGGAUGUGAAAGCUCCUGGCUUAACUGGGAGAGGUCGUUCAAUACUGCCAGACUUGAGAGUGAGAGAGGGAGGUGGAAUUCCGGGUGUAGUGGUGAAACGCGUAGAUAUCCGGAGGAACACCAGUGGCGAAAGCGGCCUCCUGGCUCAUUUCUGACACUCAUACACGAAAGCUAGGGUAGCAAACGG
rnacentral:rRNA from 1 species